UGGGGGAAUAUUGCACAAUGGAGGAAACUCUGAUGCAGCGACGCCGCGUGAGUGAAGAAGUAGUUCGCUAUGUAAAGCUCUAUCAGCAGGGAAGAUAGUGACGGUACCUGACUAAGAAGCUCCGGCUAAAUACGUGCCAGCAGCCGCGGUAAUACGUAGGGGCAAGCGUUAUCCGGAUUUACUGGGUGUAAAGGGAGCGUAGACGGCAUCACAAGUCAGAAGUGAAAAUCCGGGGCUCAACCCCGGAACUGCUUUUGAAACUGUGGAGCUGGAGUGCAGGAGAGGUAAGCGGAAUUCCUAGUGUAGCGGUGAAAUGCGUAGAUAUUAGGAGGAACACCGGUGGCGAAGGCGGCUUACUGGACUGUAACUGACGUUGAGGCUCGAAAGCGUGGGGAGCAAACAGGAUUAGAUACCCUGGUAGU
rnacentral:rRNA from 1 species